rnacentral:misc_RNA from 1 species
GUCCGAGUACAUUUGCUGUAUCGUCUGCUUUAAAGGCUUGUGCAAGGAUUUUGUAUAGGUCUGGUGGGAUAUCGAUUCAUGCACAAGUUUUUAAGUAUGGUUUUUGUAAUGUUGUUUAUGUGCAGACAGCUCUAGUAGAUUUUUACUCGAAAGUAGGUAAUAUGGAUUUUGCCCGGAGCAUCUUUGAUGAUGAGAUGGUUGAGAAAAAUAUUGUAUCGUGGAAUUCAGUGUUAGGUGGAUAUGUCAAAUCUGGUGACUUAACAAUGGCACAAAGUGUUUUUGAUGAGAUGCCGGAGAAGGAUGUUAUUUCGUGGAACUCCAUGGUGUCUGGGUAUGCGAGGAUGGGGAAUAUAGAGCGGGCAAAUGCAUUGUUUAGACAGAUGCCGGAGAGAAGUUCUGCCUCUUGGAAUGCAAUGAUUAGCGGA